rnacentral:misc_RNA from 1 species
UGGGCCGCACGCGCGCUACAA